GCAUGUUGCUCAGACUCUUCACUUUAUUGAUGCCGCACCAGUAUCACAUUCUUCAAAAAUAAGCUACUUUUUGAGAAGCCGAAAUGCAACUGUCAUUUUUGAAGAGUCCGAGUAACAUAGCUUAUCAGAAAUCAGAGUUUGACCAGGAGAGCUUUUACACUUUAAUCAACAAAGUUCAUCUGGUGAAUAACAGUUUAUCUAUUUUUCAUUUAAUCGUGUUGUGAUGAGCUCUUGUCAGCCAGAUUUUUGUCACUAUCAUUUAUAGCCAUGAUAAUUAAUAGACAUUGCCAAUACAAAAUCUGGAUCUUUU
rnacentral:misc_RNA from 1 species